AGUGUCAAAGUAAUCAAAUCUUUUUAAAAAGGACAAAGUCAACACAUCUCAUUCUCACAACAGAUGAACUUUGUUAAUGGCACAUCCCCUACAUUUGACACACUCACACUGUUUUACAACACAACCUACAUGGUUUCAUUCCCCUUACACAGGAUGAGUGGAUUGUUGUCACUGCAUAAUGUAUUUUCACCUCGGUAACUGUUGUGAAGGUGUCUUUUCACAAAGCGAUAAUGCAAAAGAUAAUCACCUGCAGAUGAAGGAGAGGACACAGGCUGAAGGCAUGGACAUCCAAGGGGUGUCUGUCAGCACUGGAUUCUGUAGGGGUUGAAGACUCUAUGUCUGUGUGUGUGUGUGUGUGUGUGUGUGUGUGUGUGUGUGUGUGUGUGUGUGUGUGUGUGUGUGUGUGUGUGUGUACAGCGUUUUUCUAUCGUAUGUGUGACUGUAUGAGUGAAGGGUCGGGACAGCAGCUGGCCGAGGUUUUUUUCCUUUUUCCAGCACGCCUGCCUUUGGGAGCCCCCACUCCAGCUGUGAUUGAUACGCUACUGUCGCUGACCGUGCAGAGGCCAGAGCAUGGGGACCCUCUGAGGCUGAUGUUUAUUUGUGGUCAGAAAGCUCCACGGUCAGGGGGCCUAGGUCAUCAAACAUCUUAAUCCUCACAAACACUUCUCCCAGUCGGAUUUUCUCCCUGGGAACAGAAUUCCGCUCCGUACAGGAGGAAGGAGAGACAAGUGCAUAGGGUCAGCCGGAUAGCUGUGUUACACUGACUCCGUCAAACCAUCCGUCCAUCCGUCCAUCCAUCCAUCCAUCCAUCCAUCCGUCCGUCCGUCCGUCCGUCAGUCCGUCCAUCCAUCCGUCCAUCCAUCCAUCCAUCCAUCCAUCCAGCUCUUUCUUCACCACAUCAAACCGGAGCAUCAUCCACAUUAGUGCAGACAGCCUCAGUCCAUCUAUCAUCUAUCUCCAACCUGCUGCCACUCAAGACUGCUAGAUGCUCAAACUACUCUGCAUGAGGAAGAAACUAGCACCUCACCUAAAGGGAACCUCUGGGUUGGGGGGACCGCUCCAAUGUAAAUUAAAGGUCAACAGAACAACAGCAUCUGCAAAUAUGAUAAUAUGAAGUUCAAACAUUAGAAACCCUCCUCUUUAGGACUACACCUAGAGAUCCCUUCAUGAACACAGCAAAUAGUUUCAGGUACAAGGCAUAUCCUGGUUUGAGUCCAACCUGCACUGGGAAGAUGCUUGGCUAUCUGCCAAAAGUCAGAAAGGCAACAGAACCCAUCUUUCUUUGGAGAUAAAAUGAUUAGAUAUGAGAUAUUACUUAAGAGCCACCCGUGUACCCCAUACUCCCACAGAACCACCCACAAAUCACCUCAAGGGACAUUGUUAUAGGCCUUGUCUAAAUCCAGAAAACCCAUGUAGACUGGACAACCAAAAGCCAUUGUGUUCUUCCAAAAUCUGAGGGUCGACUAUCAGUUGUAGCCUUCUUCCCUACACCCUACAGCAGGGGUCAGCAACAUUUAUAACCCUAAGAGCCAUUUUUACCUUCAGUCCAGCUAAUCAAAAU